rnacentral:rRNA from 1 species
GAUGAACGCUGGCGGCGUGCCUAAUACAUGCAAGUCGAGCGAACAGACGAGGAGCUUGCUCCUCUGACGUUAGCGGCGGACGGGUGAGUAACACGUGGAUAACCUACCUAUAAGACUGGGAUAACUUCGGGAAACCGGAGCUAAUACCGGAUAAUAUAUUGAACCGCAUGGUUCAAUAGUGAAAGACGGUUUUGCUGUCACUUAUAGAUGGAUCCGCGCCGCAUUAGCUAGUUGGUAAGGUAACGGCUUACCAAGGCGACGAUGCGUAGCCGACCUGAGAGAGGGAUCGGCGACACUGGAACUGAGACACGGUCCAGACUCCUAAGGGAGGCAGCAGUAGGGAAUCGUCCGCAAUGGGCGAAAGCCUGACGGAGCAACGCCGCGUGAGUGAUGAAGGUCUUCGGAUCGUAAAACUCUGUUAUUAGGGAAGAACAAAUGUGUAAGUAACUAUGCACGUCUUGACGGUACCUAAUCAGAAAGCCACGGCUAACUACGUG